rnacentral:rRNA from 1 species
UACGGGUGGGGCAAGCGUUGUUCGGAAUUACUGGGCGUAAAGGGUUUGUAGGUGGCUUGCUAAGUCAGACGUGAAAUCCCUCAGCUUAACUGGGGAACUGCGUCUGAGACUGGCAAGCUCGAGUGCAGGAGAGGAACGCGGAAUUCCAGGUGUAGCGGUGAAAUGCGUAGAUAUCUGGAGGAACACCGGUGGCGAAGGCGGCGUUCUGGACUGCAACUGACACUGAAAAACGAAAGCCAGGGGAGCAAACGGG